UACGUAGGGAGCAAGCGUUGUCCGGAAUCAUUGGGCGUAAAGCGCGCGUAGGCGGCCCCGUAAGUCCGCUGUGAAAGUCAAAGGCUCAACCUUUGAAAGCCGAUGGAUACUGUGAAGCUAGAGUACGGAAGAGGCGAGUGGAAUUCCUGGUGUAGCGGUGGAAUGCGCAGAUAUCAGGAGGAACACCGGUGGCGAAGGCGACUGCCUGGACCAGCACUGACACUGAGGCACGAAAGCGUGGGGGAGCAAACAGG
rnacentral:rRNA from 1 species